GACGAACGCUGGCGGCGUGCCUAAUACAUGCAAGUCGAGCGGACUGUCCGGAGUGCUUGCACUCCGGAAGGUUAGCGGCGGGCGGGUGAGGAACACGUAGGCCACCUCCUCAUAAGACCGUGAUCACAUUCGGACACGAAUGCUAAUGCAGUAUUUGCUGAAUUCUCGGGUUUGGGAAGCGUGAAAGGCUUUGCAAGCUCCCGCUGCUUGAUCGGCCUGCGGUGGAUUAGCUAGUUGGUGGGGUAACGGCCUACCAAGGCGACGAUGCGUAGCCGACCUGAGAGGGUGAUCGGCCACACUGGGACUGAGACACGGCCCAGACUCCUACGGGAGGCAGCAGUAGGGAAUCUUCCGCAAUGGGCGAAAGUCUGACGGAGCAACGCCGCGUGAGUGAGGAAGGCCUUCGGGUCGUAAAACUCUGUUGCCAGGGAAGAACGGGUAGGGGAGUAACUACGCUUGUCAUGACGGUACCUGAGAAGAAAGCCCCGGCUAACUACGUG
rnacentral:rRNA from 1 species